rnacentral:rRNA from 1 species
GGAAGUAAAAGUCGUAACAAGGUCUCCGUUGGUGAACCAGCGGAGGGAUCAUUACCGAGUUCUUCUUACUCGAAACCCUUUGUGAACCUUUAUACCCGUUGCUUCGGCGGCGCCGAGCUCCCGCGAGGGAGGGAGGCGCCCGCCGGUGUAUUCAGAAUCUCUGUUCGAACCCGACGUUACCUCUGAGUGUUCUAAGCGAACUGUUAAAACUUUCAGCAACGGAUCUCUUGGCUCUAGCAUCGAUGAAGAACGCAGCGAAACGCGAUAAGUAGUGUGAAUUGCAGAAUUCAGUGAAUCAUCGAAUCUUUGAACGCACAUGGCGCCCCCCGGUAUCCCGGGGGGCAUGCCUGUCCGAGCGUCGUUUCAACCCUCGGGCUCUUAGUAGCCCGGCGUUGGGGACCUACGCGCCGACGUAGGCCCCGAAAAGCAGUGGCGGACCCGUGCCGGCCCCCCCUUUGCGUAGUAGCAUUAGCCUCGCAUCGGGAGCCCGCGGGACCUCCGGCCUCUAAACCCCACUAAAGCCCGCUCCGGCGGCACCAAGGUUGACCUCGGAUCAGGUAGGAAUACCCGCUGAACUUAAGCAUAUCAAUAAGCGGAGGA